GAUGAAGAACGCAGUGAAAUGCGAUAAGUAAUGCGAAUUGCAGAAUUCAGUGAAUCAUCGAAUCUUUGAACGCACAUUGCGCCCGUCAGUAUUCUGGUGGGCAUGCCUGUUCGAGCGUCAUUACGCCCCUCAAGUCCCCUGUGGACUUGGUGUUGGGGAUCGGCGAGGCUGGUUUUCCAGCACAGCCGUCCCUUAAAUUAAUUGGCGGUCUCGCCGUGGCCCUCCUCUGCGCAGUAGUAAAACACUCGCAACAGGAGCCCGGCGCGGUCCACUGCCGUAAAACCCCCCAACUUUUUAUAGUUGACCUCGAAUCAGGUAGGACUACCCGCUGAACUUAAGCAUAUCAAUAAGCGGAGGA
rnacentral:misc_RNA from 1 species